rnacentral:rRNA from 1 species
GGAGGAGGCAAGCGUUGUUCGGAAUCACUGGGCUUAAAGCGUGCGUAGGCGGGAUGGCAGGUGUCUUGUGAAAGCCCUCGGCUCAACCGAGGAAUUGCUGGGCAAACCGUCAUUCUUGAGGCCAGCAGGGGGACCUGGAACUUUGGGUGGAGCGGUGAAAUGCGUAGAUAUCCAAGGGAACGCCAGUGGCGAAAGCGAGGUCCUGGGCUGGUUCUGACGCUGAGGCACGAAAGCGUGGGUAGCAAACAGGGAUUAGAUACCCUGGUAGUCCACGCCGUAAACGAUGCGCACUAGGUAUCAGCGCCUCUGACGGGGUUGGUGCCGUAGCGAAAGCAUUAAGUGCGCCGCCCUGGGAGUACGGCCGCAAGGCUA